rnacentral:rRNA from 1 species
UACAGAGGUCCCGAGCGUUGUUCGGAUUCACUGGGCGUAAAGGGUGCGUGGGUGGCAUAGAAAGUUUGAUGUGAAAGCUCAAGGCUUAACCCUGAAAUGGCAUUGAAUACUGCUGUGCUGGAGGUUUGGAGGGGGGGGACUGAAUUCUUGGUGUAGCAGUGAAAUGCGUAGAUAUCAAGAGGAACACCAGUGGCGAAGGCGAGUCCCUGGACAACACCUGACACUGAGGCACGAAAGCUAGGGGAGCAAACAGG